UGGUAGCCAAAUAUUGUAUACCUAGAGAUAAAACAGAUUCUAUAAAAAUAUUGGUUAAUUAAUAUGGGACAGAUAUUCAUGGAGGAGCACUAAUUACAUGUGACAUCUUAUUAUUUGUAUUAAAUGUAGUUGCCCUGGGAGAGAUGGCAAGGUGUCAAUGAACAUAAGGCUCUGAGAAGAGGAACUUUUAUAAGCCAUUACCAGAUACUGCAAACCACCAAACCACCAUAAACCACUGGAAACCACUGGAAACCACUGAAUGGGAGUGAGAAUUAGUGCACUCAUCAAUGUUUAGUCACCACAGAUAUAAGGAAUGAAGGAUAUAAGAGCCUGAAAACAUUCAAGAGGAAAAUGUCCAAAUAUAGAUCUUUCUGUUGUCAAAUGGAUGCUUGGCAGAGGGAAAUCACUAUACUAGAUGAUGGGAGAUACACCAAUUGUCUAGAGCUUUUCUCAGAUUAUGAAGACUCUUCAGCUAUCUUAAGGAUUUCUCUGUUCUCUGAAGGCCUUCUACUCAAGGCCAGAAGUGAGAAAGAAGAUGGGAACUGUGCAUUCAAACCUAGGGAUUGAGAAGGGUGGAAUAUGGCUAAUCUUUGAUUCAGUUUUGUUCUGUUGGAGCAUGAGGAGUUGGGUAGAAAACAGCAUGCAGCUUCUGACUGAAAGGGGCACCCUUUAAGUCUUAAAGGAUAUGUUGAUUUAAUGCUUUCUCUAGAUAAGGAUGCAACAUAUGUCAAAUAAAUUAUAUAUUAGAAUGCAGGAGAAUUUGGUUUUAUUUUCACGUUAGCAGAGAAGAUAAAGAAACUUUGUUUAACAGCUGGGUUUGAUCUCCGAGAUAGCAGGGAUGUCUGCUUGGAAAAGACACUUCAAAAGCAGGUUGAACUGACAGAAGUUAUAGCCACAGCUUUGCCAUCUACCUGUACAGUAACAAGUUUUCCUGACAUUCUCUCUGUGUUCAACACAGCUGAGCAGAAAUAAAAUUAAAAAAAUACUUAUGACUGUAAAAAAUUAGACAGCAAAAGGGAAAUAUGUUCUUCUUGAAAUCUUGCUUAUAGAAUUUGUUUCUGUUGAAAGAUUAAAG
ensembl:lncRNA